CGCUGGCGGCGUGCUUACACAUGCAAGUCGUGGGCACCAGCAAUGGUGACCGGCGAACGGGUGCGUAACACGUGAGCGACCUACCGAUUUGUGGGGGAUAGCCGGCCCAACGGCCGGGUAAUACCGCAUACGCCAAGUAGACCGCAUGGUCAUCUUGGGAAACCUCCGGGGCAAAUCGAGGGGCUCGCGGCCUAUCAGCUAGUUGGCGGGGUAAUGGCCCACCAAGGCAUCGACGGGUAGCUGGUCUGAGAGGAUGGCCAGCCACAUUGGGACUGAGAAACGGCCCAGACUCCUACGGGAGGCAGCAGUGGGGAAUCUUGCGCAAUGGCCGAAAGGCUGACGCAGCGACGCCGCGUGUGGGAUGAAGCUCUUCGGGGUGUGAACCACUGUUGCCCGGGACGAACGGCGAGAUUUAUCUCGCGUGACGGUACCGGGUGAGGAAGCACCGGCUAACUCCGUGCCAGCAGCCGCGGUAAUACGGAGGGUGCGAGCGUNGUCCGGAAUCACUGGGC
rnacentral:rRNA from 1 species